CUUGUUUUUUCUAUAACUGCCAACAGUGUGAAAAUUAUAAGAGAAAAUCAAAAACAAGUGAAAACGGCAGAUUUAUUGAACGAAUUAUCGCUGAACGUGGAUUUUUAACAGUAGUGUCUGCUAUAUCUGGAUAUUUUUAAAGAACCAGGAUUGCAAACGCUGGCCCUUAUAAUCUUAAGUUGAUCAGAGUUCAUUUCUGCUAUCAACAAUCUUCCAGUAGUUAGUUAUGGUCAUGAGUACAAAGUUGAAGAGUAAGAAUUAUUAUACAUAAAUAAACAUACAGCAGUUUACAAUUGCAUAACGUUGGGGCUAACUACCCAACAGACAAUUUUGUUGAUUUUCAGCUUGUUAAACUGCUAUUAGACUGAUUCCGGCAGAACUCAAGCCUGAUAAGCUGGUAUACAACAAAAUUGUUUGCUGGGGAAGCAUCCGAGAAAGCAUCUGUGAGCGGUGAUGAAAUUUAUUUAACGGUCGUGGUUGUGCCAAUCAUUCUGGAAAAGUCUUGAGUAAAAUCAAUUACGUGAAGUAGUUAGAGAGGAAACGAUACAGACAACUAUCGUCUUUUGUCACCUGCAUGAGAAGCAGCAGUACGUUGGGUAAAUUAAUAAACUUCCCUAGUCAACGUUACUUUGUCGGUUGUAAGUUAGUUUUCCGAUACGAAACCGUUUUUGAGACAGCUCGCAGAAGUCGCAAAAGAGUUUGCUUAUCAACUUCUUGAUAAUGCCUCCCAAAAGCUUUGAUUAAGAAAUCUGAGCAAAGGAUUCAAGAAAAAAAUGGAUGCCUUGUGUGAACUAAUUUCCAAUGACUGUUGCCCAGUCUGACACAUUGCUAUUGGUGCGGAACAGAACAGAAACGUCCGUACAGCUAAGAAAAACAUAGGAUAUAUAAGAAGAGCAACAAACAUCUAUUUGACCAAAAUUAGUUGUAGUUGAAAAAGAUUUACAUUUACAUUUGCCAGCUUAUAAGGCCAAAAAGGGACCGACUUUUGUAAGUUAAGACACAGUUGACGAGUCACUUUUCAAUAUAAAUUAAUAUUAAU